GGAGACACCAGUUCAUGCGGAUAGACGUGGUCAACGCAUCGAUGUCGUACUUUGUCGAGGAAAGAUUUGUGUACAGAGGUGUAUGCAAGGAAAAGUAUGACACAUAUACAUGUAUACACAUACCCAGGAAGUGGGAUUGGGCAAUAAUCGUAUGGAAUAGAAGACAUUUGUUGGAAGCCAAAUUUGCUCAGGACAAAUGUUCCCGGUCCGCUUAAACCGACAAGCAAGAAGAAUCAAAGGCACGGAAACUAAUGGGAUGACGCUAGCUUAAGGCCUUGAGAGUUGAAACAGCGCGGAAAAUAAAUAGAAUUCCUUGAAAUGAAAACAAUAAAGAAAGCUUUCUUGGAUUAUGCGAAGGUCCGACCCAAGUAUGCAUACGAGGGCGGCCAGUGAAACUGCCGUGUGCUGGUAUUUUAUUCCUUGUUCUUUAGUUAACAUUCCCGAGGAACACCUCGCAAAGUGCUAGCCGGAACAUAAUGCGAAAAAAUGUCUGCGCGAGCGAAAUGAUUAAUUGAGAGCGUGCAGCCGCCGACCCAGCGAAUUCACAAACCGGUGUCAACG